rnacentral:rRNA from 1 species
AUUGACCGCUGGCGGCACGCCUAACCCAUGCAAGUCGAACGAGUGGCGGACGGGUGAGUAAUGUCUGGGCAACUGCCUGAUGGAGGGGGAUAACUACUGGAAACGGUAGCUAAUACCGCAUACCAUCGGAUGUACCCAGAUGGGAUUCGCUAGUAGGUGGGGUAAAGGGUCACCGAGGCGACGAUCCCUAGCUGGUCUGAGAGGAUGACCAGCCAAACUGGAACUGAGAAACGGGCCAGACUCCUACGGGAGGCAGCAUUGGGGAAUAUUGCACAAUGGGCGAAAGCCUGAUGCAGCCAUGCCGCGUGUAUGAAGAAGGCCUUAGGGUGGUAAAGUACUUUCAGCGGGGAGGCGUUACCCGCAGAAGAAGCACCGGCUAACUCCGUGCCAGCAGCCGCGGUAAUAC